GUGAAAUGUUGAGAAUCAUGGCUGGCAACACUUGACAAAGAUACGAAAAGUCAACGGAACAUCAUUAGAGAGGAUAUCGUUCAUGUACAUGCUGUUGACUGUGCUAAGCUCCACUUUCAAGUUUGUAUAUCAAAUGAGACAAUAACGAUGAAGGUCUUCUUUGGUAGAAAAAUACAUCGCCAGCUAAAUGGAAUUUGACCUUCCUAGAACUGUUUUGUAGUAGACUCAAGGAUCAUUAUUGAUGAAACCAGAAUCAAUCAGCAGUCUUCUCAUUUACUCACUUGCUUCCAAACAACAUAAAGAAAGAGCCAAGCAUCUGCCUUGUCUGGUGCGAAGAGGAUGGAGAAAUGAAAACUUCGAAAGUCAUAAUAAUUGCUACCAAUUACAGGGCUUCCACUCUGUAAAUUACCUUCGUUAAC